AUACGGAGGGUGCGAGCGUUGCUCGGAAUUAUUGGGCGUAAAGAGCAUGUAGGCGGUCUGUUAAGUCUGGUGUGAAAGCCCGGGGCUCAACCCCGGAAGUGCAUUGGAUACUGGCAGACUUGAGUAUGGGAGAGGAAAGCGGAAUUCCGAGUGUAGGAGUGAAAUCCGUAGAUAUUCGGAGGAACACCAGUGGCGAAGGCGGCUUUCUGGACCAAUCCUGACGCUGAGAUGCGAAAGCGUGGGGAGCGAACAGGAUUAGAUACCCCGGUAGUCC
rnacentral:rRNA from 1 species